UCUAUAAAAUGAAAUAAAACAUUUGCUAUACAUUCAACAUUCAUAUUAUAUAUAUUUAGCCCAAUUUCUGAACUUAAUGGAUACCAUGGUGUUUGGUUUGUUUGUUUGUUUGUUACAAAUUAUUUCAGUCAUCGUCAGCUCAAGUGUCAAGAAUUGUAAUAUUUGCCAUGUGACUCAAGACUUCCCCACACAGCAGCUGCACAACACCGUUAUCUCUCAUCUCUACUGAUCAACCAAAGCCUCCGAUUCAUUCCUGCAGUUUCACCAAAAACAUUUCAGACAAAAGAAAAAAACAAAAAUGGCAGCCUGUUAUAUUUUCAUAAGGACGCCAUAUUCUGCAGAGCCCAAAAAUUCACACUCGACUCGGUCCAUUUUUUUAAUGGAAAAACUGAUCGAGCAACAAGAUGUUUGUGGUUAUGUGUGUGUGUUUGUUUAUGAAGAAUAGCACCUUUGAAUUGCCCGGCCCCCCUUGAAAAAAACCCUGACACUUCCGACAAUCAUGCCGUGCAAAAAUGUCUUACAAUUUGCGAAACGCUGCACACGGCUGUGUAAUUUUACAAUAUCUGCCGCCCCGAUCGCUUUAUAACAGCGCACACUGAAUACACAUUGAAACCCUUUCUGGGUUGGUUACUCACCUUCCUGUCUAAACAGAUACUCUGUCAGAGUGAGGCAGAAGGUGGAUGCCACAAAUGCUGACAUGAAGCAGAGUUGGAGUAUUUCAUGUUUUCAUCAAUUUGUAUUUAUGCUAUUUAUAGCCUUCCAAUGCCAAUGCCAAACUAAAAUUCCACCCAUGACAGAUGGACGUUGUUCAAAAGGUAAACAGACAUGCCUCCCACUAACUAAAAUAAAAAUAAUAGUAAAACCACAGUGAAAAACACCCAUAAAAGACGGAGCUUUGUGGAAUAUAUUUGCUGAAAAGAAAUAAACCAAAAUUCAAUUGUUUUAUUUCAUUAUUUUUAUAUUUCCUGCAGGAUAUUACAAAUCAGGACAGGACUGUGUGAAGUGUGCGAGUGGUUUUUAUACUGAUUUACCAAAUAAUCUGAAACAUUGUUUGAGAUGUA
rnacentral:lncRNA from 1 species